rnacentral:rRNA from 1 species
CCUACGGGAGGCAGCAGUGAGGAAUAUUGGUCAAUGGACGAGAGUCGGAACCAGCCAAGUAGCGUGAAGGAUGACUGCUCUAUGGGUUGUAAACUUCUUUUAUAAAGGAAUAACACGAGACACGUGUGCCUUUUUGCAUGUACUUUAUGAAUAAGGAUCCGCUAACUCCGUGCCAGCAGCCGCGGUAAUACGGAGGAUCUGAUCUUUAUCCGGAUUUAUUGGGUUUAAAGGGAGCGUAGAUGGGUUGUUAAGUCAGUUGUGAAAGUUUGCGGCACAACCUUAAAAUUAGAAUUGAAACUGGCAGUCUUGAGUACAGUUGAGGUAGGCGGAAGUCGUUGUGUAGCGGUG